ensembl:processed_transcript
GUAGGUACUCCAUUGUCUGACGGAUCUGAGAACGCUGUCUGGGCUUCGUGCCAAGGGCUGGUAUUCACACAGCAACGACGGCCUCACAGAAGAGCUGUGGGAAGCAGGAGGGCGAGCCUCUCUUAGGGUGCCACUACUAUGGAGACACAGCUGGGCUGAACAAGAUUUGCUUCAAACGACAACAAGAGAGACAGAAAGUAUCUGAUUCAACCGCUGCCCAAGCAGGCAGGCACCAGAAGAGCUAGCAGCCAAUCCGGCCAUGCUCGAAGCCAGUCCUGCAGCUCAGCCAAUCAGUGACAUCAUUGGACAUCUCUUCAGAUUGCUCAUCAUGAUAUGAAGAUGAAACUUAAUAGCAAUAACCAAUGGAUGCUUUUCUUGGAUUCAGUCCAACACUCUGGAGACCAGAUCUUCAGGAAUGUAACUGGGAUAAUUGUCCAAAUUGAAUCCCAUACCCUGUCAUGGGAAUCUUGAGGAACCCAUUAAUGUAAAGCUGCGGCCAGAGUUCCAUGAGGAGGCAGAAUGUUCUAGAUGAUCCCUGUCUCUUCUCCAUUGAGGAAGUCGUUUCUUGCCUCUCUGUAAGCUCAGUUAAUCAUACCAGAAUAGGAGUCCUGUCUUAACUGAGCAAUAUACACUAUGGAGAGAUCCUUCAAAACCCGUCGGGACGAAUAACAGAUGAAUUCAUAAAACUGUUCAUCUCUGUUAUCCUGAAUGGUCACUCAGACAACAUUUUACUCAACUAUAAAGGGGAACACUUAAAGUGCAUAUGAGAAGAGAAGAGAAUGACCACAGGAGAAAAUCAUCUCAGGUAAAACGAAAAGGCACAAAUGUAGAGAGUAAUUAAUCUUAGAAUAUUAAAGAGAAAAUGAUUAUGUCUGUGUUUGGUAUAAGAAAUGGUCCUUCCCUUUAUGAAGCUACGUAUUUGGGAUUUUCACUGAUGGUUUUCCUUCAAGAGUUUACAGUAUUACUUGCCUUUGUCAACCUUUUGUUUGGUUUUGUGAUCAAUGCCCAGUGUCCAUCAUUCUGAGGACAUAUGUGUAUGUUGAUUUAUACAAUUCAGGUACAAGAUGGUUGAAUAGGAAGCUAUUUAAUGAAAAGGAAAAUAUGUUCUCAGUGGUUAUACAUUAUAAAAGGAAGUAAAAAUCUGAUAGAAAAGUAUAAGCUCAUAGUUUAUUUUUAAUCUUUUCCAUAUAUCUAGUAAGACAAUAAUGUCAAAGUAUAUUUUGUAGUAAUAAAAGCUACAGCCAGUGUUUCCUCUUUCUUUUUUUUAAACAUAAAAUGUAUAAAUAUAUAAGGAAAUACUUUUACUACAAUUGGAUGCAUGAUUGUUGAUUAUUUACUACAGUUUUAAUAAGUAGGAGAAUGAUUUGAAAAUAAAUAAUGGUGAAAAUUUGUGUAGGCCAAAUUAUCUGUAUUAAACUGGAGAAAAUACAUUCUAUUUUUAUUUAUUUCAAAACAUGCCAAAUCAUGAAGUAAUUACUAUGCAGUAUUAUUUUUCACAAUGAAGAUAUAAUUAAGAAAAGCUAAAUCAUUUUAGAUAUGAGUGCAAUGAUUAACGAUUGUACAACUUAUAAUUUUGCUUCAGAUGAGCUUAGAAUCCUAAAAAUGUACAUGUAACUGGCUUCAUGUGUGCUUACUGGCUUGCUUUCUUACAGUGUAGUAGCUGACAGAAUUAAGAAUCAUUUAUUUCAUUUCAACCUGUUGAACAGAGGAAUUAUAUGUAGCUGUGUAUUUUGUUGAAAGGAUAUAGUUCUUGGGAAAUAGAUUUAAAUGUGUUUUGUUGAAAGGGAAUGUAUGCUCCUUGGUGUGAUAUAAGCGACUACAAAUAUUCCAGAAUAGCAGGAAUAACACCGAUCAUGUCAUUGAUUUUAGGGUUUUUUGAUACCAUAUCUUUUCCUCACUGCUGUAAAAGUUUAAUUUCAUCCCNNNNNNNNNNNNNNNNNNNNNNNNNNNNNNNNNNNNNNNNNNNNNNNNNNNNNNN